AGAGAUAAUUGGUAUCAGGACAGUGGUUGUAACAGCCUCUGUACUUGUUUUAUAAAUGGAGGCUUUGGUGCAUAGUUGGACCCUUUAGCAACGGAAAAUGGAAAGAGCACGUGUUGAUAGCUUUGAUCAUCAGGUAGACCAUGUUAUGCCCGGAGAGACAAAGACAUUUUAUAAUAAAUAAUAAUAUAAUAUGCAACACUGCUACUGUGAUGUAGGCAAGUGAAGAAGGCUGGCAGAAAAUAACUGAUCGUGAGAAUUGUACCAGCACUGUGAAAUGGAGUUGGCAGGAAAUCAGGGCUUGGCAUGAAGACCUUCUUCAAAGUGGUUGGAGCAGAAAGUGAGGAGCUUCUAUAAAUGAAACCUGGAGCUGGAGCAAAUAACAAACUGGAGAUGAAGAAACUCAAACUAUAGAUUGCAUGACUGGAACAUGAGAAGAAGGAAUUGCAGUAAAUGACUGAAAUUGUAAGACUAACUUUUUCCCCCCCCCUUUUCAGCAGCAAAGGCAGAUGAUAAUAAAAAGUUAACUAUA